rfam:Triticum aestivum genome assembly, contig: Triticum_aestivum_CS42_TGACv1_scaffold_592978_7BS
UCGAUACUCCCUCCGUCCGAAAAAAUUUGUCCCUCAAAUGGAUGUAUCUAGCACCAAUUUAGCGCUAGAUACAUCCAUUUGAGGGACAAAUUUUUUCAAACGAAGGGAGUAUGAG